CUGUGACCAGCAAUGAAGGGAAAAGAGGUUAGCUGGUUAGAGGAUGACAUUUAUGCUGUUUGUUCCAGGUGGCCUUCUGAUUACUCUUGGGAUCAGGCUUGACUGUCAUCUUUAUCCCCAGGCUGGGAUCUCAGUGAGAAGCUUGCAAAACUCAAAGCAGCUUAAAGAAAAUGCAUAGGUAAGUGUCAAGGGAGAAUGAAGUUAAACUACAAAUGCUCCUUGGAGGAAUGUGAGUGCAUUAAUACAUUCCUUCCAAACACAAAAAUGAGACAUGACCAUGAUGUCAGAAUUAGUGGACGUACACAAUGUUUCAGGAGUGAGUGGUAGAAACAAGACUGCAUUUUGUUUUUCUAUAACAGAAAAAAAAAAUAGAAAAGGUAAGAAGACUGUUCUAAAAUCUGUUCUCUAUAGACUGAUGAAAACUGCAAAAGAAAAAAACCCACAUUAUUGAGCUGAAUUAUAUUUCCACGACAUGUUUGAGGAGUGAAUGAAGAAUUUUUGCAGUUAAGUUCCUAAAUUCACUCUCACUGCAAGCAUAUGUUUGCCAACAUGUCAGUGCUGCCUCAGCUCUCUGUGUCAGCUAAUUUUCUUCCAGGGCUGUGUCUGAUAUUCUUCCUUUCCAUUACCAUUUGUCACCUGACAGAUAAAACUCUUGAUUUCUGAGCUUGGUAGGCUAAAUUCAAUGCCAAAUAUCCUGCUGGUCAGAGCAGUGAACUAUGGCAGGCUGAACAGCAACAUUAUAUUAGUUAAGGAAUCUGGGUUUUUCCCUAACUCAAAGAUAAUCACUAUAAAUCUAAAUUCAAAUAUUUCUGAAUUUCUUGUAAGUGUGAUAACAUGGACAGUUUUUUGUUUGGUUGUUUUUUUUUUCCCCAGGUUAUUAAUCGUAUUAAUCA